rnacentral:rRNA from 1 species
AUUGAACGCUGGCGGCAUGCCUUACACAUGCAAGUCGAACGGCAGCGCGGGGCAACCUGGCGGCGAGUGGCGAACGGGUGAGUAAUAUAUCGGAACAUACCCUAGAGUGGGGGAUAACGUAGCGAAAGUUACGCUAAUACCGCAUACGCACUAAGGUGGAAAGUGGGGGAUCUUCGGACCUCAUGCUCAUGGAGUGGCCGAUAUCUGAUUAGCUAGUUGGUGAGGUAAAGGCUCACCAAGGCGACGAUCAGUAGCUGGUUUGAGAGAACGACCAGCCACACUGGAACUGAGACACGGUCCAGACUCCUACGGAGGCAGCAGUGGGGAAUUUUGGACAAUGGGCGCAAGCCUGAUCCAGCAAUGCCGCGUGCAGGAUGAAGGCC